GCCGUCCGGCGGACACGAAUGCAACAUGGGUCUCAUGGUGCUCGUCGUCCGUUUCGCGGAACCCUCACCGCCCAUCCUUCCCAGACCCGAGAGUGUACUACCGCCGCCACCCACCACCCCCAACACUCCCGGCGCGACCGCCCUUGUUUCCACACGCCCGUCCGGAGCACCGCUCGUCGUGGGUCAGUACGGGAGUUCGUUUAGGCAGGGGAGGCUCGACGGCGGGUGCCUCUGGGUCAGAGGAUGGAAGAAGCGAGACUGGAGUUUCUUCUCGAUGCCGUUGACAGAUUCCCCCUGCGUGAGGAGUUUGCCGACAGCCUUGAACACCCAGAUCUAGUUCCUCUGGUUUUGCUGGCCAACAGCGGGGCAACAUCGUCGGCCGCUGCUGAUUCCAGUCCUGGCUCUGGCUGUGGUUAGCAAGUCUGGCGGCGAAGGGAACGGUGAUGCCCGUGCUGGGUUCGACGGCGACCGGAUUCAUCCCCAACUAGGCCAGCACAGUCCACGGACAGAGUAAAUCCCCAAGCGCCAGGGUGGAUGAAAAGGUUAAGGCUGGGAAGUGCACCACCGGACCGUACCCCAUGUCCAUCCAGAAUGAGUGCUAUUAAGCAGUCAAUUCGCAAAUACGCUGAGGAACCAACGGAAGUUGUAAUAAGACCAGAAUUUGGUUUAAGCUUCGCUUCCUUGCGCGAGGCAUACGACUUCUAUAACUUGUAUUCGUGGGAAAUUGGAUUUGGUAUAAGGUAUGGCGAGAGUAGAUUGAAUGCAUAGAAGGACAAAAUGCAUGGAGGAGAUCGUCUGCGGGUGCUCGGAUGCAUGAACAGGUUGAGGGAGAGACUCUAAUAUAGGGUUAGGCCUGAAGAUGUAGCCGGUCCAAGCGACGCAGGUGGCAGCAGGCUGCAGCAAGACCAUGUUGCAGCUCAGAGACUGAAAGAGCAGCAGCAGAUAUGGAAACAAAUGUCAGAUGUUGAGCAGCAGAUGAAGUUAGACCUUGAGCAUGCCCGUUCGCAUCGGAUUAUACGGACGAGGGGAGGCACGUCUGGCAAUGGUGAUGUUGGUGAUUCGGAUGAUCCGGCAGGUGAGGAAAGGCGUCAGCGUGUGUGCAGCCUUGCUGCUGCGGCGCUUGAAGUAGUUAACCGGACGAUAGACAAUCUGGAACUCUUUAAAGACAUCUUUGAGCACGCAAGGGGGCUCUUAACUGCACUUGGUGUGGAUGGAGACAUCAGAGGUGACUAGAAGCAUAUCGAACGGCAUUUAAAACGGUGAGACUCUGUUUACGUGGCUUCUAUGCAGAUGUUAAUCGACAUGCUCUUGUUUUGUUGGUGACAGCGCCCUGGUUCUCAAGAUCAAAAUGGAGAAGUGGCUGAGGGUACUGAUAGUGAUGAGGAGGAUGACUUUGAUUGGGCGGCGGGAGAAUCGUCACGGAGCGACUGGGGAGAGAAGUACCCAGCAUCGGUUGGGCUGUAUCAUGUUGAGCCUUCGGAGCAUGACAUUUCAAAAUUCUAUGUAGGCAUGGUAGGCUGUGGCGAGUGGCGACCAUGUUCUAAAGAACUAAGAAUGACAAGAGUAGAACCGUCCCGUGGCAAGUAUUUUCUACUGUUUGGCUGUCCUUGCCAUGUGAUUCUGAAAUCCGUAAAUUUCUACAGGAAGUGGUUCAAGCACUAUCAUCCGAGACUAGCUGUGGCGUCUGGCUAGGACCUGAAGGACGAGCUAACUCCUGGUGGCGAGCUGACACUGAAUCUGUGGACAUGCAUACAAAGGAUGCUAAGCGAGAAGGAUAAGAUCAUGUACAAGGGGUGGCUAGACAGAUUCAGAGGCAUCUUCGAUCCCCGUUUUGUGGUACGAAUGCUUGCUUGGUAGCAACUUGCGAAGGUUAAGUGGCCCGUAGAUUGUAAAACCUGAUGCUUCCAUAUUUAAUCUACAUGAUGAUGGACUGCGAAAAAAUGGGCUAUAGAAUCGACUGGCUUAAAAAGUUCAUGUUCCCGGUGAAUUUCAUGGAUUGCUGGUCGGUGUAUAUCCUGGAAAAGGAUAAGAAGAUUGUGAUGGUGCUUGAUCCAACUGAGACAUAUCCGGAAGAUGAGAUCAAGAUCAAGCACGAGCCGCUGGCAAAGAAGUUUCAGAAAAGGUUCUGCAACCUGUUUAAUGACGUGUAUGGUGCUGGAUUGGUAGAGACGACUGGGUCAUCUUUUGUGUAUCCUUUGGAGGCGCAGCACGAGCCAUGCAGUAGGUCAGUGCACCUUCAUCAUUGCCUUAGUGCCUCUGUUGUGGUUUGCAUGGAAGACAAGGGUGUCUAUGUUGUGCGCUACGUCCUGAACUUUACUGGUCUAUACCUACGAUAAACUUUGAGCCAGGGCCAGAUUGAGCAGCUGCGGAAGAAGAUUGAAUAUGAGGUGGUGAUCACGAGGGGUAACAAAAGAGAGCUUCUGGAUUUCAUGUGCGAGGAGAUAGCUGACUGAAGAUGGAGUGGUCGUACUUGCAGUCUGCGUACAGCCCGGCAAGAUCUUUUGGCUGUGCGUCAAGUAUGUCGUUAGGCACUGGGGUUUAAGUCUGGAGUCAUUUUGCAAUGCGAGCGAAAGAACUACUGUAGAUUAUUAGUUUGGACACCUACGGUAAUGUGUUGUGUUUCAGGCAAUGGACCUGCGUGAAUGUAGGAUUAAGUAUGGAGAUGUGAUGACUUGUCUGUUUGUUUGCAAAUUGCUAUGUCAGAUGAAAUGAACUAAGUAUGGUCAUGUUGGACAGUAGUAAUUUUAGUAUGGUAUGAAAAGAAAUAAAGAAUGAAGAACGCAUGGGUCUCAGGGCA